UCCCGUGUGGCUCAGUUGAUAGAGCAUGGUGUUCGCAACGCCAGGGUUGUGGGUUCGACUCCCACGGGGAA
rnacentral:tRNA from 1 species